AACGAACGCUGGCGGCAUGCCUAACACAUGCAAGUCGAACGAGACCUUCGGGACUAGUGGCGCACGGGUGCGUAACGCGUGGGAACCUUCCCUUAGGGUCGGAAUAACUCCCCGAAAGGGGUGCUAAUACCGGAUAAUGUCUUCGGACCAAAGAUUUAUUGCCUUUGGAUGGUCCCGCGUUGGAUUAGCUAGUUGUUAGGGUAAAAGCCUACCAAGGCGACGAUCCAUAGCUGGUUUGAGAGGAUGAUCAGCCACACUGGGAGUGAGACACGGCCCAGACUCCUACGGGAGGCAGCAGUGGGGAAUAUUGGACAAUGGGCGAAAGCCUGAUCCAGCAAUGCCGCGUGAGUGAUGAAGGCCUUAGGGUUGUAAAGCUCUUUUACCCGGGAUGAUAAUGACAGUACCGGGAGAAUAAGCUCCGGCUAACUCCGUG
rnacentral:rRNA from 1 species